CACCACCAUCAAAGAAAAAAUCCCAUUUUGGCCGUUUCAGAAGGCACUUUGUCACAAAGUUCUACCCAGUCAGGAGCAGAUUUAGGGAUCCACAAAUCCAGAACCUUUUGCCUUUUCUGGAGGAGGAUCCUGUACAGACAACAACACCACCAAAACGAAGGCAUGGCAGGCCAAAGAAAAAUGGAAAUCUUCUUAGUUCAUCUCAUGUUGAGAGUACAACAACUUCAAAGAGCAACCCUGAGACGGAAACGUGUGAAACAGUCAUUGUGGAGGAUGAUGUAGAUGUGGUUGGAGGUACGGGGCCAGCCCCUGAACCUGUCACCAUAACCUGGACAGACUCCUCAGAGGAAGAAAUUGAUGUUGAGAUCUGAUUCAAAGAAGUUAGUUAUUUUCAUAGGUUUACAGGUUUUCACAGCUAAUUUGUGGCUGUUCAGUUUGUUUUAGCUGUCAACAAAACCGUUUGGAGGGUUUUAAAGCCAAAGGGUAAGAGGUAUUUUAUCUUAGUUGUAAAUGUGUUCAGCAAUCAGAUUCAGAUGUGUAAGAUCAGGGAUAUUUUUAAAAGUUACAAAGCAGUGUUUGAAGAAUGGAGUCUUCUGGUUUACAGCAUUUUCAUGUCGUAGCAUGGCCUAGUCAAAGUCCAGGCAUGCAGCCAGCUAAGUAUCUGUAGCAACACUUGAAAAUUGCUCUUCACAGAUGUCCUUAUUCUGAUGAGACUGAAAUUGAUCUGUUUCAUAAAGUAAAAUUAGGAAAAUGUUAAAUGUUUCACAAAGUUUUGACUCAGGGGAAUGUACAGUUUUUCCUUAUAUGGGCAUCUGACUAGAAUGACUUUAGAAAGUAAUAGAAACCAACUUCUCUAUCUGUGAGGUGCAUCUGAAUAAGUUUCCAAAUUUCUAGAUGGAUAUGCAUUAAAUUGGGAACUGGCGCCCCCUUGUGUUGAUAGGUGCUGCCUGCUUUCAGCUGAAAAUUGGUAAAUAAGUCUUGUUUGUCUCACUCUUCCCAUGUGGGAUGAAACGUAAAUAAUUCUGUUGCAUCUUCAUUUCAAUUAGUUUCUGAGCGCCAUGUUUAGCAGCUCCAGUUGGGGGUGUGACGUUUUCAUAAACUGGAACUGUUUCUGUCUCUGUAGUGGGGGAGUGAGGGGACGAACGGCUCACCCAGGGCAAUGUUCAUGCAAGAACCGCCGCUGUCAUAGGCUGACUAUAUGCACAAAAACACUUUUUAAAAUUUAGUUUCCAAAAACUUAACAUUUUCCCUUCAAAUCUUUUAAAUGUCAUGUCACAUAAGCUAAAAUCCAAAUAAGAGAUUGACAUUUGUUUGAUAAUAUGUUGGAAAAUUGCUGAAUAAAUGCUUCUGUUUUAACCUGAAAUGUUAAAACUUUUGAUUAUAUCUUCUAAAGUUUGCUUUUUUUGGCCCAUUUAGUUUAACCUUUUCAUCCGAUAGAUUCUAAGUUUGCAUUCAUAUCUUAGUUUUUUUCUCUUUUUGCAUUGUUUUCAAUGAUUCGCCCACAUUAAAGCCAUCUGAAAUAAUUUAUCCUUUGUUUAAAUAAUUGCCAUGUCGUUUGAGCCUUAAGUGAAGAGGGAAGGAAUAAAACAAAAACACGUGAAGUAAAAUGACUUUAUUAGUAAUCAGCCUGUGGAUCGGUUUCCUUCACACAAACAACACAUCUGAGCUGCACCUCUGCUUCAUUCAGCAGAGGGGAUUAUUCCCUGGGUCUCCAGGUUUCACACCUGUCUGAUCGAUUUCCUGUCCUCUCCGCUGAGGUCGGGUUAGAAUACAGCUCAGGUGUGUGCCUGAUGCGUGGAGGAGCCUUUAAACCAAAUAAAAAGACACUGAGCAUCAUUAAUGUCAGCAUGUGUGUGAAGUGUGUAAUUCCCUGUGC